rnacentral:lncRNA from 1 species
AAGUGGUAGACUGCCUGGAAGUCUAAGAUCCAGGGCUGAAGAUUGUCAGGAACACAGAGAAGGCUUGGGAGCAGGAAAGGGCUUGGAGGAGGGGCGGGUGGGGGGAAAACAUGCAGAAUACCAUCAGAGCUCCUCUGGAACAUGUCCUUGUCUUCUCAGAGUGUGAAGUGUGUGUGUGACAGUGCUUUUCUAAGGACUCAGGUGACCUGGAGGCUGGAGAACAGCAUGGAGCAAGGAAAACAAAGAUGAUGUGCUGGAGUGUAUGUUGCUUUCAUAAUUAUGUGAGAGAAAAUGUAGAGAAAUUUGAAAGGAGAACUGGUUAUCAGUAGUGCCAUCCUCCUCAAAUAUCUUCAAAUAUACACUCACUACCAUCCAUGUGUGGGUUGAUUAAGGAGUAGACGUUCAUUAGAUCUGCAGUCUCCUGACCUGAUGUGCAUCAGAAUCACUGGGAGAACAAACAAACAAAAAUGAAUCCAAAACAAGCAACGAACAGACAGAUUCUCAAGUCUUGCCAAGUCCAAAGAUUGAUUUGGUGGAGAAAUUGUACUUUGAAAGCUGCCCAGGCAGGAAUCUGCUUUCUGUAGGCAGGGUGGAGCUCCUGGAACACAAUAUGCUACUUCUGAGAUUUCUUCUUUGUUUUUGAACGUCACCGCCAUGUCUCUAGUGUGAUGUAAUAAGAAGGGAUCACCCGAGGGAGGAAAAGGAUUCCUCAUUUUCUAAACCAGAUACUAUGUUUCUUUCUCUUUUGCUUCCUGCUCUCUACUUCCUUCCAGUGGAGACUGUGGCUGUCUUUUUUCCCCCUCCCAUUAGAGAGUUCAGUGGGCUUUUCCCCACUGGAAUCAGAUAAGAGACUCUGGGAUGGAGCUGGGGGAUUUGUCGAUAGUCUGGUGACCUGAGAGGAAAACGAAGCUCAGGUCACACAGCAAGUAACAGAGUGGCCAGUCCAGGACUCAAAAUUCAGGCCUCCUGACUCCUGGCCCAGUGCUCUUUUCAAAGCGUCCUUCCAUAAACGAUGAGGAUUAUUAGUAAUCCAUCCAUCUCCCUGCAGCCUCCCUGAAUGUUACUAAUAUUAAUAUACUCAUCUGAUACACCUUGCACACCUCCUGUGAGGCAGGUCCUUUCUAGGCACUGGGGACUUAUCAGCAAAACAGAAAUAAAUCCCUGCUCUUAAGGGGCUUAUGGUUGAGUAAUGGGAGACAGAUAAUCAACAAUAAACAAAUAAAUGAUAGAUUUGCCACAAUGUCUCUCCAGGGAACAUUUUCUCAACAGAAUGCUUCUAGAUUUUUUAAAGCCCAAACUC